GGAAAGGAAAGGGGGUGGUUGUGGAUUUCAGUGCAGGAAGCAUCUGUCCAACUUAGGAUUCGAACCCACGACCCUGAGAUUUAAGCGUCUCGUGCUCUGCCGACUGAGCACAGGUCCUGUCCACUUUUGAGACCAUAACCAUCUGUCAUGGGUUUAGGCGGGGGGCGGGGCGGGCAGCUGCCCCCCCCAAGGAAAUAAAAAGUAGAAAUCGUAGAAGGAUAUUUGACCUAUGUUAAAUUUUUAAAUCCGCAUUAAAGCAAUACUGUGCCUAUGUCAGGGGAGAAAAUAAAAUAUUGCAGGUAGUAAAGCCAUCUCUGUGUGCCUCUCAUCAGUUUUAAGAUAGAGUGAGAAAUGAAGCAGACUUUUAAAUGAGGCUGUAUUGGGUGCUAUUUUAGUAAGCUGAAACGUAAAAACACACAAUGGCUGUUGUCCUUUCAAUGCAAAUAUAGAAACCAGUCAUUGCCCAGGAGUGUCUUCCACCUUUAGGAGAAACGCCCAGGUUUCUUUGGAGAUUGACAAAAUGAAAACAGAGAAACCAAGUAACCCUUGUGGCAACACAGACAGAGAUUAAAUUUAGGUGGAGUGCUAGGUAGAAAUGUCAAUAUAAACCACACUUACUUAGCAGUUUUAUGGAAUGUUCCAUUAGAGGAUAACAUCUCAUCUUCAGGUGAUACAAGAUAGUCUUCCUUCAGAUCAGGAUUCCGAAGCUGAAUGCCUAAAAUCAACACUUUCCAAAUCACAUGAAAAGGAAAACCAGCUGUUUUGGCCCAUGAGAGAAAUUCAGCAAGCAAGCAAACAAAACGUUAGGACAAUACCUUUAUUUGGUCAGCCAAGAUGGGGAAAAACUGCAAGCUUUUGAGUUCUUCAGAGCUCUUAAUCAUGGGCAAACAAAGCAAAUAAAAAACAAGGUAGGGGAAGAGAUCACUCACAAACGUACACAUGCACACAACUAGUGGUGAACAUGGGAACUCGAAAGCUUGUACUCAGACCACAGUAACAUAGCUGCUACUGAAAAUAAUUUCUGUGUAGCUGGUACAGUACUUCACAUAGCUUCAGCAAUAGUUGAUUUACUUCACAUGUUACCAGAGCUUUUUUUUCCCUAGAAAAAGAGGUAAGUUGUUGAGCUUUGUUUAGGGGGAGCAACCAGCCAUAGCUGUUGAGUUUUGCUUUUUUUAGGGCAAGGACUUCUCUUCUUUGCCGUGCUGCCUGCCUCCAACACGCAGCCCCAAAUGGCACCUCAGCACUUCAGAGGGGCAGGAACACACAAAAGAGGUGCUGGAACCCAGUUCCAAUGAGUUCUGGCUGAAAAAAAGCCCUGCACAUUACUUUGGCAUGGUUAUGUAUGUGGAAACAUGCCUUGAGGGGCAUUGAGGUCGAGUCAGAUGCAUGCAACUAGAUCCUUGUUUGAGAGUUGCCACCAUCAUUUGCUUAAAGUGAUAUUUGAGGUUCUUCCUUAGACAGACAGAACAUCUGAAGAAUUUUAGAAGCAAAAGACUUUCUAUACUGUUGAAUAAUUUUUCUUCAUUCUUUUCUGUUUCUCUUCCCCCCUCCCCCUUUGGCUUUGUUAUCAAAAGCACCUUGUGGUGAACUUACCCUAUUUUGUUCAAUCAAUCAAUCAAUCAAUCAAUCAAUCCUUUAUUAGUCAUAGCAAACCACACAUUAUAAAACGAACACCAUAUACAGAUUGUGGAAAAUAUGAAUUUGGCAUAACAAUUUGCAUAAAUAAUACAGUAUAACACUACCACAUCACCGACCAAUCAAGAACCACUAAAUCUCUCUAUAAUGGCCCAGUCUUUCCACAUGGACAGCACUCAAUAAUUUAGCCACUAUUAAAGUAAUUUGAUUAUUCCUGUCCGAGAGCAGGUCCUGAACCGUUGGCGGCAUAGAACCGAGCCUGUUAAGUUGUAAGGUCUCUAACAAUUGUCUUCUGGCAUAAAUCCCAAAAUCACAAAGUUCCUGCCUACCACAUUUGCAGAGACACUCUGCUUCUGGAAGAGCUAAAUAUCUUUCUAUUAACCUAUUUUGUUGUUUCUGUUCCUUUUUCCUCUAGGACACAUCACAGCCAACCUUAAACCCCUAAUUCAAAUGUCUGCUCUCUGAAAGUGGUCCUGUAUGCAGAAGUGCAACUGUAACAGCGCCUCUCACUUCUCCCAUGGAGCCUGUUCAGAAGGAAAGCAUCAAAAGCUGCUGGUAAAGGAAAAUUAUCAGGGUCGCACUCUCCUUGUUCUCCUUCCAAUACAGCUAAUCAACCAAAGUGACCAAAACCACAUCUGCAGCCAAAUUGAAAUGGGUCUGGAUAACCAGCUUAAUCCAAGUAUGCCUGAAGCUAAAUGGCUGUCACCUCUUAUUACAUUAGCCAACUAUUUUGAACACUUAUGAUUGGUAGCUUCGCAUGCUACUCCGUUGAGUCCUCUGCAUAUGUUUGGUUCAGCACUUGCAGUUGGAACUAGUCUAGGGUAAUUAUUUAUAGUUACCAUACAGUAUAACUGAACAGAUGCUGAACCACAGGUUCUUCUCAGAGAAACUAUGUUUGCGUUAUGUUCUGAAAUUGGGUUUAAUAAGCUUACACUAAUUUUUGUGGUUUGACUAAGCUUGUGGUUGAGUUAACUAAUUUACCCAAUACUUAUCCUGCCUCUUAUAAAUGCAUAAGUCUGUAGUGAUGGAUCAAAUUUGUUUAACAACGUUCGUAAGUUGAGGAGGGGGGCAAUGGGUGAUAAUAUAAAUACUUUAUUGAUCUUCUACACAUUAUUUCUUGCUGAUUGGACCACUGACAUCUGUUUUCUUGUAGCUGCAUACAACACCUGAGUUUGCUUUUAAUAUUUGUUUUUAAAACUUAUUUGGUCAAUUAUCCCCUCUUCCUCAACAAUUUAACUGUAUUUCUUGCCAUGUAUCAUUCAUGGAACUUAAUGGGCAGCGUUCAACUGAGUUUUACUCAGAGUAGACCCAUUGGAUGAUAUUCAUCUGAGUUUUACUCAGAGUAAACCUAUUGAAAUGGGUUCAGAAACCCCAACAAAACAAAUGAGCAAAAAUUAAAUUACUUUUAUGACCAUUUUAAAGUCAACCUUGUUUGCGAGUUUAUUUGUAAUUUCGAUUCUUUAACACAAUGUUAAAUUGAGUUUCUAAAAAAAAAAGACACAACCAUUUAAAUCUCCCCCAACACAUAUCCAUAGUGUUGACCACUAGUCAUUGUGAGAGCUCGGCUAAUAGAAGGCUUUUAAACAAUUACUCUGAGCGUUAUGUUUAUGGAAAUGUCUUUCUUCAGCACUUUGUUUCACCCAGACUUUUCAACCACAGAGUUGUUAGAUAACACCCAGAUUGCCACACAUUGACAAAUCUACAUCGGUGUGAAAUCAAGCCCUCUUUUCCCCAGAAGAUAAGAAAAAGAAGGAAGAUCAAGCUAUAGUUUCCUCCGGGGGAGAAACAUCAGCAGCAUUUUGCUUUCUGACUUAUUUUGACACUAGCUCUGACAAUUUGCACAAUGGUUAACAGGCAAAGAAAAGCUGAUUCACAAUGUCAGAGGUGUAAAAUAAAACAUUUCUAAUUUAAGCAUGGAGGGCUCUGGUAAGGUUUUUAAAAGAAGUGCUGUUACAGAAUUUUCAUUCUGCAGGGCUUCUUGAUUCUACAGUGUUUGGCAGUUAUACCAUUAAAACACAAACUAUUGCCUGCCAAACUGAAGUGGAAUAAAUAAAAACAAAUAUAACCGCUAUUGUUCUGAGAAGGUCAUCACACUCAGAUAUGCCUGACAAAGGCUGACAUUGUGACCUUCACAAAUCAAACUUGAAUGUCUUGCAUUUUCUCUAAAUGAAAGGAAAUGCUUUUCUUAACAGAAUAUGCUAAGCACACCAUAUGACAGAAUCUCAGUGGCAGGACUAGAUAUGAGAGAUAUAUCUUUGCAUGUUCUGCGGUGAAGGGAAAUAGUUAUGCAAACUGACGUGACAUGCUGUGCCAGGUGAAAGAUUAUGCACUGAGACUGGGGUGGUUUUGCAGACCUUGGGUUUGUUUCAAAAAUAAUCCCCAGUUAUCACGAAAGGAGAAGUUGCGUGCUACACAAAUGUGAGAUGUAGGUUUGCGGUUUAGAAAGGUAAGUGAAUUCCACCCAGGCCUUGCGCCAGAAAACCUGCUAGUAGCAGCCUGCUGCCGGAAAAUAAUAGGUUAUUCUCUGCAUCAUUAGGCUGCAGUAUUCUCAGCUCUGCUGUGCUUCUGUGUCUAGCCGCUCCACAGAUGUUAGCAUUGCGUGUGAUUAUUUGUUACAGUCCCUAGCAGGAAAUAGGAAAAAGGUACCUGGGAGGUAAGGAGACAAAAUCAAUAUAUUUGUUUCUCAUGUAAGAGGAGAAGUGGGGCCAGUAACAAAAUGUUGCCAAAUAUCCUCACCUCUCAGCUGUAAUGCUCCUAUUGAAGAGUUCCUGCCAGACCGUUCUUAGAGGAUGCUAUAAUCAGGAAGGAACUCAAGCAGGGCAUCCCAUUUCUUCCCCUUGUUUUCUCCCCCCCCCCCCCCGAUUCUUCAACACAAUGUUAAAUUGAGUUUCUUAAAAAAAAGACACAACCAUUUAAAUCUCCCCCAACACAUAUCCAUAUCGUUGACCACUAGUCAUUGUGAGAGCUCGGCUAACAGAAGGCUUUUAAACAAUUACUCUGAGCAUUAUGUUUAUGGAAAUAAGAGCCAGUGUGGUGUAGUGGUUAGGAGCAGUAGUCUCGUAAUCUGGGGAACCGGGUUCGCUUCCCCGCUCCUCCACAUGCAGCUGCUGGGUGACCUUGGGCUAGUCACACUUCUCUGAAGUGUCUCAGCCUCACUCACCUCACAGAGUGUUUGUUGUGGGGGAGGAAGGGAAAGGAGAAUGUUAGCCGCUUUGAGACUCCUUCGGGUAGUGUUAAAGUGGGAUAUCUUCUCUUCUCUUCUUCUUUUUCCUUUUAAAAAAUCAAACAAAACUCAACAUUCUGUGGCUCCUGGACACGCUCAAACCUCACGGGGCUGCUGUUGUUUCCCCUACAUUAUGUAUUCUCACAUCGUUAUUUUUUAAUAUUUCUGCAAACCAUGUUUAUCAGCGGCUCCAUCUGGACUCCAUUUCUGCCGGCGCUCACCCCCGAAGAUGUCUAUGAGAAUGAGUGAUACUACAGUGGUACCUCGGGUAAAGUACUUAAUUCGUUCUGGAGGUCCGUUCUUAACCUGAAACUGUUCUUAACAUGAAGCACCACUUUAGCUAAUGGGGCCUCCUGCUGCCACCGCGCCGCUGGAGCACGAUUUCUGUUCUCAUCCUGAAGCAAAGUUCUUAACCCGAGAUACUAUUUCUGCGUUAGCGGAGUCUGUAACCUGAAGCGUAUGUAACCCGAGGUACCACUGUAUAUCUGCUGCAGAUAGUCAAAAUUUGGGAAAUGUUGACGUUCACAUGUGAGUCCCAACACUCAAAUUAAUUUCGUGAACAAGAGAUGCAUUUGCCCACUUUUCAAAUAUAUGUGCACAUGAAUGUUGCAUGUAGGUGACUGUCAAAAUUCACUGGUGUAUCUUUUGACAAUAUUCAUCACACAUGAAUAUCAACAGUCACCGAUCUCCUGGCAACUAGGAUGACUGUGAUCUAUUUAUUUAUUUACUUCACAAAAUUGCAGCUUGCUUGGUUGUAAUAUCAGUAAAGAAAAGUUAAAAACAACUGUAGUUAAAAUAUUCAAAAAACAAUUAAAAUCUGCUUAAGAUCCAUGUCAACAUUCUACAUGUCUGGAGAGGCUUGCCUAAACAAAAAUGUUUUAGCAUAUGUUGUAAAGACUUUUUUGAUGUCAAAAGUGUGGCUCACCUUUUUAACACCCAUGCUUAGCACCCAUGUAGUUAUAUGGUACAUUCUGAGCUGGUUCAGAUUUCUCAAAGAAAUGCAAGCAAUUAUUGCUUCUUCCUCACUUCUACUUUAAUAUCCAAGAGAGGCUCAUAGAUCUCAACAUGUUUCAGAUCUACAGGUCAUACUUUGCUUAUUAGAAGGGAGGUGAGGGGAACAAUGAUUGUAAAAUGUUACCUGUCUGAUCUGUGGAGGGCAGUGGCGGUGAUGGACUUGCUUUGUGGCAGGGAUCAGACUAAACAGACUUCUGGUUCAAUCUAGCGCUCUGAUUCCAUCAUCCUAAGACUACCUGGUGCAUUCUCAGACUGUGCCUCUGAGCAGCAGCUGGGCCACACUCAGAGGAGAGCAUUUGUCAUGUCUAAAUUUAAAACCCUGCCAGUGGCAGCUGUUUAGAGGAACCACUGAACUGGCAAAUUUCCCACUUGAGCUAAGGUAAAUCCUAUUCCUGCAGAUAAGGUGGCUUGAACAAUACAAUGAUUUAUUAUUGCUACAAGAAUGCAAAGAGUUAAUUUGGUCAUAUGUGUCAUCUAGUAAGCAUGUGCUUUUGAUCAGCAUCUUGGUUUCUUCCAAUAAUUUAAUCAGAGGAAUACCAUGAAUCAUGUAUAUGCCAAAAUAAAAUUUUAUUUCCGUGUUUAAUGGCAAAACAGGAAAUCUAAUUUGGGAGUAUAUUGAAUUUUUUAAAAAAACAACAACCAUGCAUUCUAGAGUACCAUGAGACCUUGUAAUUUGUGUUCAUAUAUAUAUUACAUGUUUAAGCAUAAACAAUUGUAUGAAAUACACAUUUAAGCAACUUUCUCUAGUUUGCUUGUUUACACCAGGACCAAAGUCUUCUCUUGAUGUAAAAACGAUAUAUUAUGCGAAUUUUGAUUUGUUGGAAAAUGGGACCUUGGCUUUAAUCUGUUGUCAUAGUUUCUUGCUUAAGGGGAAGUGUGAAGCAGAGAUGUCAAACUAAUUAAACAGAAUAAACUAAAUUGAUUUCAACCUC